rnacentral:rRNA from 1 species
GACAGAGGUGCCAAGCGUUAGGCGGAAUCACUGGGCUUAAAGCGUGUGUAGGCGGAUAUCUAAGUACCUUGUGAAAUCCCACGGCUCAACCGUGGAACUGCUUGGUAUACUGGCGGUCUUGAGCCACUUAGGGGCUACCGGAACAAAUGGUGGAGCGGUGAAAUGCGUAGAUAUCAUUUGGAACGCCAAUGGUGAAAACAGGUAGCUGGGAGUGUGCUGACACUGAGACACGAAAGCCAGGGGAGCAAACGGG